rnacentral:snRNA from 2 species
GUGCUCAUUUCAGCAGCACAUAGACUAAAUUGGAAUUAUACAGAGAAGAUCAACAUGGCCCCUGGACAAUGAUGAUAUGAAAAUUCAUGAAGUGACCCACUACCAU